rnacentral:rRNA from 1 species
AUGGUGCCAGGCCGAACGAAGAAGGGGAAGAAGAAGCCCCAGUCCCCAGCCGAACCACCCCCGGCCUUCGAGCCAGCUGUCGAGCGGUCGGUGGUGCUCAACCAGGAAGCCAUGGAUAAGGUCCGCCCAGCGCUUGCCGCCGACUUCAACGAUUGGGGGAAGAUGGUGGCCUGGCCCGCAUCCCGCGCCUCUAUUGACAGGACAGUCACUGAGGUCCCCAUUCUCCUUGAUGCCCUAUGGGCCGGCCUGAUUCCCCCUUUCUCCACCUUCUUCAACGCCGUGCUUUCUCAUUACCAGAUCCAUAUGCUGCACUUAGAUCCCCAAUCCAUCAUCCUCCUUGCUGUCUUCGCCUUCGUCUGCGAGGCCAUGGUAGGUAUUGCUCCUUCCGUGGCCCUACUUCGCCAUUUCUUCUCGCUGAAGUUGACCGACCCUCGGCAGUCCUCGGGAUGCCUUAGCUUCCAGGCCGUGGCUGUGACGGCCGGCUCGGGGAUUGACUUAGAGCUCCCGACGUCUGCGAGCAGGUUCCGACAGCGGUGGGUAUUCGUGGAUGUCGGCGUGCUCAGCCCUCUGCUCUCGCUCCCGCCGGCACCCGCCGUUCCCAGCUCUGGCUGGGGCCACGAGAGGCUCGCUGACCCGCGUCUUGCCUAUGUCUGGCUCCGGUUGAAGAGGCUGAAGGAUCAUGGCGUGACUGCGCCCAUGGUGGUGAAGGAGUUCAUCCGGCGCCGUGUUGCCCCGCUCCAGCCCCAUUCUCGACCAAUGUGGACCUUGUCCGGCGGCAAGGACCGCAUGAGGCUUCACGGAUCCGGGCUUCCUCUUGAGGUGCAACAAACUGUGCUCGAGAUCCUGACGGGCGACUGGUCGCCAGCCAACAUGCCGGAGGAGGGUUGCCUCUUGUACGGCUGCUCGAACAAGGUGGAUUUCGCGAGGCAGAUGCCCCCUUUCGAUGAAUGGGGACUACGCCCGGCCGAUCUUGAAGGGCCUCGCGAGAACCCUGUCUCCGUGGCUCCCUUGCCCGCCACCGGUGCGGCGACCUCCCUGGAAGUGGGCGCAGGGGGGCGACCACUGUCGGCCGCCGGCGACGCGGCUGCUAAGGGAUCGGCGCCGCUCGGGGCUCCCGGAGGGCCGACCCACGGCUACCUGGAGAGUCAUCCUGAGGAAGCAGUCGGAGGGGCGUCGCGGCCUGAUACUCCUGAGGCUACAGCCCCUGAGGCCCCGGCGGGUCGCCGCGAGGCAGAGGCCAAGGUCUCCAUGCAGUGUGGCACCCCUGAGGUCACCUCCUCAGGAGCUACCCCAGCUACGCCCGGAGCUGGUGACCGUACCCUGGGCUUCGGCCGGCUUCGACUGAACUUCGAUGCGCUCCGGAAGAGGAAGGGGUCUCCAAGUUGCAGCGGUGAUGCCUUCUGGCCAUUGAAACAAAGGAAAUACAUCGCCAUAGACGAGUGA